rfam:Megamonas hypermegale ART12/1 draft genome.
UAAGCACUGUGGAACUGACGGAUUUUAGUGGAAUUAACCACAUGAACCGCAUUGCUAUAGAAAAGUCGACCGUCUGGGCAAAGAAA